rnacentral:rRNA from 1 species
GACGAACGCUGGCGGCGUGCUUAACACAUGCAAGUCGAACGGUAAGGCCCUUCGGGGUACGCGUGCUCCGAACGCGUACGUAUCACGAAGGCGAUCUGCCCUUCACCUCGACUUAAGCAUGGCUUCCUGGAUCUAAUACUAGUUCUGGCUAGCAACUGCUUGGUCGUUGUUGGGAUGAUUGAUCGGUGCCGGAUGGGCACGCGGCCUAUCAGCUUGUUGGUGGGGUAAUGGCCUACCAAGGCGAUGACGGGUAGCCGACCUGAGAGGGUGACCGGCCACACUGGGACUGAGACACGGCCCAGACUCCUACGGGAGGCAGCAGUGGGGAAUAUUGCACAAUGGGCGGAAGCCUGAUGCAGCGACGCCGCGUGAGGGAUGACGGCCUUCGGGUUGUAAACCGCUUUCGGCAGUGACGAAGCGUGAGUGACGGUAACGGGUGAAGAAGCACCGGCUAACUACGUG